rnacentral:rRNA from 1 species
UACGUAGGGUGCGAGCGUUGCCCGGAUUUAUUGGGCGUAAAGGGCGCGUAGGCGGCCACGCACGUCCGUUGUGAAAUCGCCCGGCUCAACUGGGCGGGGUCAGCGGAUACGGCGCGGCUGGAGCAAGCUAGGGGGCAAUGGAAUUCCCGGUGUAGUGGUGGAAUGCGUAGAUAUCGGGGAGGAGCACCAGUGGCGAAGGCGGUUGCCUGGAGCUUUGCUGACGCUGAUGCGCGAAAAGCGUGGGGGAGCGAUCCGG